GUGGGGAAUCUUGCGCAAUGGGCGAAAGCCUGACGCAGCCAUGCCGCGUGAAUGAUGAAGGUCUUAGGAUUGUAAAAUUCUUUCACCGGGGACGAUAAUGACGGUACCCGGAGAAGAAGCCCCGGCUAACUUCGUGCCAGCAGCCGCGGUAAUACGAAGGGGGCUAGCGUUGCUCGGAAUUACUGGGCGUAAAGGGAGCGUAGGCGGACAGUUUAGUCAGAGGUGAAAGCCCAGGGCUCAACCUUGGAAUUGCCUUUGAUACUGGCUGUCUUGAGUUUGGGAGAGGUGUGUGGAACUCCGAGUGUAGAGGUGAAAUUCGUAGAUAUUCGGAAGAACACCAGUGGCGAAGGCGACACACUGGCCCAAUACUGACGCUGAGGCUCGAAAGCGUGGGGAGCAAACAGGAUUAGAUACCCCGGUAGUCC
rnacentral:rRNA from 1 species